AUUCCACUUCGGGCUGUAUAUUGAAAGGGACUGAAACAAGAUGUUGAGACCCGUGUUUAUUACAUGAUUAUUUACGAAAGUAAGAUGUGGAAACAACCUAAAUGUCCACGAAUGGAUAAACGUUUUAAAUGUGGCACACACAAUCAGUGGAGCACUACUCAGCCUUAAAAAAAGAAGGAAAUCCUGUCAUAUGUGACAUCACUGACCUUGAAGACAUGCUCAAUGAAAGCCCACCACAAAAAAAAGACAAAUACUGCCUGCUUCCACUUAUACAAGCUAUCUACAGUCAAACUCGGAGACAGAAAACAGAAUGGUGGAUGGCAGAGGCCAGGGUGUUAUCUUCUGCAUCGAGGUAUUCUCAUUUCUCAGGGAAGAAAUACAUUUAACCCAGGGGAGCCUGAAUGUCAUGCCUGGUUAUCUGACCUACUACCUCUACUCAAACACAGAACCCUACAAACCCAUGACAAAAAUGGAGACGCACUCCACUCCACUGAGACUGUCAUGAAGUCCUGGACAUGCCUUUGACCUCCUGAGCAGAAAUCACACUGGAAUCAAAUUCCUUGGGUGCUGAUCCAAGUAUCAUCAUGGACAACCGAGUAACUGAGCCUUCAUCUCCCUCUUUGCUCUAAGAUUCUGUUCUGCCUUGUGUGGCCACUGUUGUCAAAGACAUGUUCUCAAGAAUGCAGUGGGCUCUGCUCCAAGCUGAAUCACAAGCGCUGGAAUCACCUGGGUCUAAAGCUCUCUCGUAAGAAUGUGCGGAUAACAUCACUAUAAAACACACAUAGGCAACUCUGUAUUAUUUACGGGUGAUGGAUAGAUGAAGAUUCAUGCUCAGCCAACAGGCAGCUGAGGCAAUUACCUUGGUAACUCAACUCAAACCACCCAGUGUGGGGAAUCUACAGAUCUAAAUGUUUAAAUAUAAUGCUCUCCUGGGAAUACCAUCUCUUGUUGGCAAAAUGGCUUAUUUUUCCCUA